rnacentral:RNase_P_RNA from 2 species
AAAGUAGAUUAGAUGAUCGCCAGGUUUUUUAGCAUGGAGGAAAGUCCGAACACCACAGGGCAGGGUGCUCCAUAACGUGGAGUCGCGGUGACGUGAAGGAAAGUGCAACAGAAAGUAAACCGCCGAUGAUGAAUUCUUUAUUGAAUUCAAACAGGUAAGGGUGAAACGGUGAGGUAAGAGCUCACCAGUUCUUCGGGUGAUCGAAGAAGCUUGGUAAACCCCACCCGGUGCAAGACCAAAUAGGAAAACGCUUUAGAAUGGCCCGUUCAAGUUUUCGGGUAGGUCGCAUGAGAUAUCGAGUAAUUGAUAUCCUUAGAUGAAUGAUCAUCACCGGUUGUUUUCAGUCGGGACAGAAUUCGGCUUAUGAUUUACUUUGACC